rnacentral:tRNA from 1 species
GGUGGCUCAAUGGUCAAGCGUUUGGCUGCUAACCAAAAUGUCGGCAGUUCAAAUCCACCAGCCA